rnacentral:rRNA from 1 species
CUUUUAUGGAGAGUUUGAUCCUGGCUCAGGACGAACGCUGGCGGCGUGCCUAAUACAUGCAAGUCGAGCGCGGGAAGCAGACUGAAUCCUU